GAACCUUGGGGGACGAGGGGGAGACUCCGGGGGACAGGAAAGGGUGAGCGGAGGACCGCGCUGCACUCGGCCUGGAUGGGCUCCGGGACAGAAGAGGAGAUGCGGGCGAGAAGACCGCCGGGCGGCGGACGGGAGAGCGCAGGCUCGGGGCACACUCGCGCGCAGGACGAACCCAGUUCCUGACCUCAGGGAGUUUAGAAUCCGCUGCAGAAGACGGUCUUCGGACUGCCCUGUUACCGGAACGACAGCGGUGAGGGUUUCCCCGCGGAGGCCGCGGCAGGGCGGGGCGGGGCCGAAGCCGCCCUUUCGGAUCGCGGGCGCUGGCUUGGAGGCCGGCUGUGGCCAGGCCGGGUUUCCACACCCAUCCUCUCUCCAUACGCUUCCUUUUUGCUUUUGUUUGUUUCCGUUCUUAAAGCUUAACGAUAGCGGUAACACAGUAUGCCACACUACAGAACAAUUCGGUAUCUCUCUCCAGUCCUCUGAAGACUGUUCUGGGAGUUUGUUGUUUUUGUUUCGUUUUGUUUUUUUGAGAUGGGGUCUCUCUCCUUGGCUGGCCUCAGAGUUACUAUCACCUACCUCAGGUGUACGUGGUGUAUGCUCUUAUGAACCUAUAGUUCUCUUUUAGGAGAUAGGAAACAAAGCAAAUAUACUUUUUGAAUAUGUAUUUUUAACAGGUGGUACAUUAUGUGAUUCAAAGUCCGAAAGACUGUGCAGUGAAAAGCCCCACACUCCUGUCUUGAUCCAACUAGUUCCCUUCACAGAGGCAAGCGACGUUGUCAGUGUCCCCUCUUCCUUAGCCAGUGAUAGCAUAUGAAAAUACAAGCAAAUACAUCUCUCACUAUACAGGGUGCUAUUCUAUUCACUGUGCUGUACCUUGGGGUUUUUUUUCCCCACAAUAUACCUUUAAAAUAUUCUAUACCAAUGCACGGGGUUCUGUCUUUUUUAUAGGUGUAUAGUACUUCAUAUUAUGGAAAUUGCAUUGUUUCAAAUUAUGCUAGAUUGUGAUAUAUGUUAUGAUGCGCACAGAAAAUAAGUCAGGAGAUGAAUUUUAUUUUUUACAUUUAUUUGUAGCGCUGAGGAUUGAAUCCAGGGCCUUGUGCCUACUAGGUAAAUGUGCUACCAUUGAACUACAUCCCUAGCCCAGAGCUCAAUUUUAAAAUAACAGGUAAGAAGUCGGGUGUGGUGAAGCAAGAGGAUCGAUGCAAAUUCAAGGCCAGACUGGGCUACAUAGUGAGACUUUGUUUCAAAAAAACAAAAAGUUGAACAGAGGCAGCGAGGAAAGCCGGCGAGAAGGGCUCGGUAAGAAGCGCCCGCGGCAUGGCCGCUCGGUGGCGCUGGACUCAGCCUGGAAGUGGGGCUGUGGCGCUGCGGGCGGACUGCGGGCGGGUCAGCCCUUGGGGCCGCGCAGGUCCCUCGCUGUCCCAGCCGCUUGUCGUGCGCCGCAGAGCUUAGCAGGUGUGGCCCCCACAUCACUGUUUCUCUAGGAAAGCAGGAGCUGGGAUUUGAGACUUAGAACCUGUAUCUCUGAAAUUCUGCUUACUAGAAGUUGCUAAUAAUUUUGGUUUUUUUUUUUAGACUGAGUCUCACUGUGCAGUUCAGGCUGGCCGUGAGCUCACUUUGUAGCCCAGGCUGGUCUCGAACUCGGAACGAUCCUCCUGCCUCAGCCUCUCGAGUGCUGGGAUUACAGGUGUGCGCCACCACGCCCGGCUGGAUUCAGUUUUUAAAAUGUGCUUGACA
ensembl:lincRNA